rnacentral:rRNA from 1 species
UGCAAGUCGAACGGCAGCACAGUAAGAGCUUGCUCUUAUGGGUGGCGAGUGGCGGACGGGUGAGGAAUACAUCGGAAUCUACCUUUUCGUGGGGGAUAACGUAGGGAAACUUACGCUAAUACCGCAUACGACCUUCGGGUGAAAGCAGGGGACCUUCGGGCCUUGCGCGGAUAGAUGAGCCGAUGUCGGAUUAGCUAGUUGGCGGGGUAAAGGCCCACCAAGGCGACGAUCCGUAGCUGGUCUGAGAGGAUGAUCAGCCACACUGGAACUGAGACACGGUCCAGACUCCUACGGGAGGCAGCAGUGGGGAAUAUUGGACAAUGGGCGCAAGCCUGAUCCAGCCAUACCGCGUGGGUGAAGAAGGCCUUCGGGUUGUAAAGCCCUUUUGUUGGGAAAGAAAAGCAGCUGGCUAAUACCCGGUUGUUCUGACGGUACCCAAAGAAUAAGCACCGGCUAACUUCGUGCCAGCAGCCGCGGUAAUACGAAGGGUGCAAGCGUUACUCGGAAUUACUGGGCGUAAAGCGUGCGUAGGUGGUUGUUUAAGUCUGUUGUGAAAGCCCUGGGCUCAACCUGGGAAUUGCAGUGGAUACUGGGCGACUAGAGUGUGGUAGAGGGUAGUGGAAUUCCCGGUGU